ACCACGGUGUAUAAUUCAGUAA
rnacentral:miRNA from 2 species